rnacentral:rRNA from 1 species
UACGUAGGGGGCAAGCGUUGUCCGGAUUUACUGGGCGUAAAGGGCGUGUAGGCGGCCAACUAAGUCCGACGUGAAAUCCCCAGGCUUAACCUGGGAACUGCGUCGGAUACUGGAUGGCUUGAAUCCGGGAGAGGGAUGCGGAAUUCCAGGUGUAGCGGUGAAAUGCGUAGAUAUCUGGAGGAACACCGGUGGCGAAGGCGGGUCUCUGGGCCGAUACUGACGCUGAGGAGCGAAAGCGUGGGGAGCGAACAGG